rnacentral:lncRNA from 1 species
AAAAAUGCAAGCCCAUUUACUGAACUCCCACACAUCUUAAGCCCUACACAGCUAUUUGGAAUGGAGUGUAAAAUCACACUAGGAAGUUUAGCACUCAUAGUCUAGUUGUCAAAAGGAAUAAUGCACAAAAGAUGGACCUUUACCAGGCUAGUCACCAGAGAAUUGCUAUAGUUUCCUUCCCAAUACAAGUCUUCAGAUGUGCCUAAGCUUUCCCUUCUUGGAUUUACAGAUUCUUAACUGACUUGCCACAUCACUGCCACAAGAACAACGUUCUCUGGAAUAAUUUUUACACUUCUAGUGCUACUCCCAGCCCAAAGCAAGAAGUACAAAGGAACUAUUCAACGGGCUCUGCGUUUGUGUGGGAAGCUACAGCUGGCAGAUGUCAGUUCUUUACGGAGAAAAGAGCUCAUCUAGGCGUGAAACAAAAUCCUGCAUAUCUUACUAGUGAAUGCUUCCUCUGAAGUUUCAGAGCAUACAAUGUGACUAAGAGGCAGAAUGACUAUUUCUACCCCACCAAACACAGCAUGGGAGAAAUUCAGCCCGGGCAGAAGGCCAACCCAAAAUGAUCAUUUAUGAAAACUAUGGGCAUUGGACCAGAGCCUCAGCUGGUGUAAAGCAGCAUAGCUCCACUGAAGUAAUUGAUUUACACCCAGUGAGUCUCUAGCUCCAUAACUUUAGAGUGAACGGAUCUUAAAUUCCCAAUAAUCCUACAAAACACCUGCGAGUAAAACAAAUGGACUCAUACUUCAGUAUUUUAUCUGUAGCCAUGUUUUAUUUUCUGUAUGUUUUUAGACUGUUUAAAUAGCUAUGGAACCAUAUUAACAUAUGGAACUGCAAUUUUGUUUUAUUCAUGUCAGUGUACUUUAUCAGUUGAAGCUGACAGCUAUGGCUUUUGAGCAUGAUGGUAAUGCAAUAAUUAAAUGUAUAUGAGAGCAAAUGCAAAGUCUAAAAAUGUAUAACUAUCUUCAGAGAUAAUGUAUAUACUUCCAGAAUAAAGCAAUUAGUGUUUAUUUAUGAAUGAUAUGU